GACGAACGCUGGCGGCGUGCUUAACACAUGCAAGUCGAACGGUGAACGAGGGAGCUUGCUCCCUCCGGAUCAGUGGCGAACGGGUGAGUAACACGUGAGCAAUCUGCCCCGAACUCUGGGAUAAGCGUUGGAAACGACGUCUAAUACCGGAUACGACGCGGGAGGGCAUCCUCUCCGCGUGGAAAGAACUUCGGUUCGGGAUGAGCUCGCGGACUAUCAGCUUGUUGGUGAGGUAACGGCUCACCACGUCGAAGACGGGUAGCCGGCCUGAGAGGGUGACCGGCGACAAUGGGACUGAGAGACGGCGCAGACUCGUACGGGAGGCAGCAGUGGGGAAUAUUGCACAAUGGGGGCGAGCCUGAUGCAGAAACGCCGCGUGAGGGAAGACGGCCUUCGGGUGGUAAACCUCUUUUAGCAGGGAAGAAGCGAAAGUGACGGUACCUGCAGAAAAAGCACCGGCUAACUACGUG
rnacentral:rRNA from 1 species